CCUACGGGGGGCAGCAGUGGGGAAUUUUGGACAAUGGGCGCAAGCCUGAUCCAGCAAUGCCGCGUGCAGGAUGAAGGCCUUCGGGUUGUAAACUGCUUUUGUACGGAACGAAACAGCUCUUUCUAAUACAGAGGGCGAAUGACGGUACCGUAAGAAUAAGCACCGGCUAACUACGUGCCAGCAGCCGCGGUAAUACGUAGGGUGCGAGCGUUAAUCGGAAUUACUGGGCGGGUGACGUAAGCAAGAUGUGAAAUCCCCGGGCUCAACCUGGGACCUGCAUUUGUGACUGCAUCGCUGGAGUACGGCAGAGGGGGAUGGAAUUCCGCGUGUAGCAGUGAAAUGCGUAGAUAUGCGGAGGAACACCGAUGGCGAAGGCAAUCCCCUGGGCCUGUACUGACGCUCAUGCACGAAAGCGUGGGGAGCAAACAGGAUUAGAUACCCGUGUAGUC
rnacentral:rRNA from 1 species